AUUGAACGCUGGCGGCAGGCCUAACACAUGCAAGUCGAACGGCAGCACGGACUUCGGUCUGGUGGCGAGUGGCGAACGGGUGAGUAAUGUAUCGGAACGUGCCUAGUAGGGGGGGAUAACUACUCGAAAGAGUGGCUAAUACCGCAUGAGACUUAAGGAUGAAAGCAGGGGAACGCAAGACCUUGUGCUCAUAGAGCGGCCGUUAGCAGAUUAGGUAGUUGGUGGGAUAAAAGCUUACCAAGCCGACGAUCUGUAGCUGGUCUGAGAGGACGAUCAGCCACACUGGGACUGAGACACGGCCCAGACUCCUACGGGAGGCAGCAGUGGGGAAUUUUGGACACUGGGCGAAAGCCUGAUCCAGCAAUGCCGCGUGCAGGAUGAAGGCCUUCGGGUUGUAAACUGCUUUUGUACGGAACGAAAAGCCCUGGGUUAAUACCCUGGGGUCAUGACGGUACCGUAAGGAUAAGCACCGGCUAACUACGUGCCAGCCGCCGCCGUAA
rnacentral:rRNA from 1 species